AGUGGCGAACGGGUGCGUAACACGUGAGGAACCUGCCCCGAUCUCUGGGAUAACAGUUGGAAACGACUGCUAAUACCGGAUGCCGUCACACCGCCACAUGGUGGAGUGCCGAAAGAUUCAUCGGAUCGGGAGGGCCUCGCGGCCUAUCAGCUAGUUGGAGAGGUAACGGCUCACCAAGGCAUCGACGGGUAGCUGGUCUGAGAGGAUGAUCAGCCACACUGGGACUGAGACACGGCCCAGACUCCUACGGGAGGCAGCAGUGGGGAAUCUUGCACAAUGGGCGAAAGCCUGAUGCAGCAACGCCGCGUGCGGGAAGAAGGCCCUAGGGUUGUAAACCGCUUUCAGUAGGGAAGAAAAUGACGGUACCUACAGAAGAAGGUGCGGCCAACUACGUGCCAGCAGCCGCGGUGACACGUAGGCACCAAGCGUUAUCCGGAUUUAUUGGGCGUAAAGAGCUCGUAGGCGGUUCGGUAAGUCGGGUGUGAAAACUCUGGGCUCAACCCAGAGACGCCACCCGAUACUGCUGUGACUAGAGUGCGGUAGGGGAGCGGGGAAUUCAUGGUGUAGCGGUGAAAUGCGCAGAUAUCAUGAGGAACACCAGCGGCGAAGGCGCCGCUCUGGGCCGUAACUGACGCUGAGGAGCGAAAGCAUGGGUAGCAAACAGGAUUAGAUACCCUGGUAGUCCAUGCCGUAAACGUUGGGCACUAGGUGUGG
rnacentral:rRNA from 1 species